GGAGCUGGUCGGGCAGUCGCUGUGCACCUGCAUAGAGGAAAGUCCGGGCUCCGCAGGGCAAGGUGCCAGGUAACGCCUGGAGGAUGUGAGUCCAUGGAAAGUGCCGCAGAAAAGAUACCGCCUCCGUAUCGGGGGUAAGGGUGAAAAGGUGUGGUAAGAGCGCACCGCGCCGAUGGUAACAUCGGUGGCAUGGUAAACCCCACCUGGUGCAAGGUUAAAUAGGAGAGCAGAGCAUUGCCCGUGUCAAGCUCUCGGGUAAACCGCUAGAGGUAUAUGGCGACAUAUAUCGCAGAUGGAUGACUGCCGAAACAGAACCCGGCUUAUAGACCAGCUCGCUCU
rnacentral:RNase_P_RNA from 1 species